ACAUGUACAUAAAACACAAUCCUUGUCUGAUCUCAGAAGCUAAGCAGGGUCGGGCCUGGUUAGUACUUGGAUGGGAGACCAUCUAGGAAGACCAGGUGCUGUAGGCA
rnacentral:rRNA from 1 species